CACACAAUCUCCCUGAGUUGGCCACUCAUUGACAUUUUGUUUUAAAACUGUUUAGAUGUGCUCGGGUGAAAGCUGUUGUAAUGUUGUUAGCCGUUCGUUCCAUGUUUGUUCAAAUCCACUUGACUUAAAAGCAAUUAACGAUUUUGCCCUGAAGAUGAGCAAAUAAAUGCUCGAAACGUCGGCUUUAAUCAAAACAAUUGUUUUAUUAAGAAACCCGAGGACCGAUAAUACGCCAAGAAAUCUUGAAA